rnacentral:rRNA from 1 species
UACGUAGGUGGCAAGCGUUGUCCGGAUUUACUGGGCGUAAAGAGCGCGCAGGCGGUCGUUCAAGUCGCGUGUGAAAGCCCCCGGCUCAACUGGGGAGGGUCACGCGAUACUGAUCGACUCGAAGGCAGGAGAGGGAAGUGGAAUUCCCGGUGUAGUGGUGAAAUGCGUAGAUAUCGGGAGGAACACCUGUGGCGAAAGCGGCUCACUGGACCACAACUGACGCUGAGGCGCGAAAGCUAGGGGAGCAAACAGG